rnacentral:lncRNA from 1 species
CACUGGGAUCCAGGCAGGAGAAGGGGGAUCACCCGGAUCAGUCUCUCCUGCUGAUGCCCAGAGCCCUGCUAUCAUUGAUUCUGACCCAGUGGAUGAGGAGGUGCUGAUGUCUCUGGUGGUAGAAUUGGGGCUAGACCGAGCCAAUGAGCUUCCUGAGCUGUGUGGCUAGAGCAGAAUGAGUUUGAUUUCACUGCAGAUUUUCCCUCCGGCUGCUGAUGCCAAGUGCCCCUAAAAAAAUGAGGGGGAAAAAAAGAGUCAGCAAUUCUGUUGUAAAUAAAAGUUAACUUGCAAAGAAAAAAAAUAUUCACAA